rnacentral:rRNA from 1 species
GAUGAACGCUGGCGGCGUGCCUAACACAUGCAAGUCGAACGGACAUUUUUGGAAAGCUCUUCGGAACUGGAAUCUAAAUGUUAGUGGCGGACGGGUGAGUAACGCGUGAGCAAUCUGCCUUUCAGAGGGGGAUAACAGCCGGAAACGGCUGCUAAUACCGCAUAAUGCAUUGGAUUCGCAUGUUUCUGAUGCCAAAGAUUUUAUCGCUGAAAGAUGAGCUCGCGUCUGAUUAGCUAGUUGGCGGGUAACGCCCACCAAGGCGACGAUCAGUAGCCGGACUGAGAGGUUGAACGGCCACAUUGGGACUGAGACACGGGCCCAGACUCCUACGGGAGCAGCAGGUGGGGAAUAUUGCGCAAUGGGGCAACCCUGACGCAGCAACGCCGCGCGAUUGAUGAAGGUCUUCGGAUU